UACAGAGGGGGCAAGCGUUGUUCGGAAUUACUGGGCGUAAAGGGCGCGUAGGCGGCCUUCUAAGUCGAACGUGAAAUCCCUGGGCUCAACCCAGGAACUGCGUCCGAUACUGGAAGGCUUGAAUCCGGGAGAGGGAUGCGGAAUUCCAGGUGUAGCGGUGAAAUGCGUAGAUAUCUGGAGGAACACCGGUGGCGAAGGCGGCAUCCUGGACCGGUAGUUGACGCUGAGGCGCGAAAGCCAGGGGAGCAAAGCGGG
rnacentral:rRNA from 1 species